rfam:Gossypium hirsutum cultivar TM-1 chromosome 2, whole genome shotgun sequence
UGUUGAAAAAUUUGAUCUCUUUAUACGGUUAAAAAUUAGCGUGAUUGACAGAAUAACCAAACAAUGACAUGUGUGCCACAUGUGCCUCAUGCUAAUGCAUAGGGUUAGUUUUUAACAGUAAAAAUAGAUGAAAUUUUUAACA